UACAGAGGUCUCGAGCGUUUAGGCGGAAUCACUGGGCUUAAAGCGUGUGUAGGCGGAUCGGUAAGUACCUUGUGAAAUCCCACAGCUUAACUGUGGAACUGCUUGGUAUACUGCCAGUCUUGAGCCAGCUAGGGGCUACCGGAACAAAUGGUGGAGCGGUGAAAUGCGUAGAGAUCCGGAGGAAGACCGGUGGCGAAGGCGGCCUGAGCUGGGCAGUUACUGGACACUGAGUGCGCGACAGCGUGGGGAGCAAACAGGG
rnacentral:rRNA from 1 species